GCCUGGGUGGCUCAGUCGGUUGAGCGUCCGACUUUGGCUCAGGUCAUGAUCUCACAGUCUGUGGGUUCGAGCCCCGCAUCGGGCU
rnacentral:tRNA from 1 species